UUUUGACGUUUCCUCGAGAGAAACAUCCAAAUUUUCAUUUUCAUCGAUUCGAAUGAAUUGCAACCCUAGUAUCGAUAGAGAGUAUAUCGAUAAUCAACCAGCGGCACCUCUACAUUUCAGUAGCGCCGCCAUGUCUGUGUGAACGUGUGCAAACGCAGGAAGAAAAAAAAAUGAAGAGCAAUACAUACGCAAAAAUCGAUCAAACGCAGUUUUUUUUUUUAAUGUAAAUCUGCCGUCAUUAGCAUAAUGCACUAAAUGGCGUUACUGCCAAAAGAUUUGAACAUGACGCGCUCUUUCAAGCCGCAUUUUUUUCCCGAAUUCGGAUGAAUAUUUUAGUGAAAACACUUCUUCCGGCUAAAAACCUAGCCGCUAAGCUGGACCCUAACUCACCUCGUGUUGUAGAAUAUCCCAGUAGUUAGAAUAAAUUUUUAAUUAUAUUUUUCAACCAAAGAAGCAACACA